UACGUAGGCAGCGAGCGUUGUUCGGAUUUACUGGGCGUAAAGAGUGCGUAGGCGGUUUUCUAAGUUUGGUGUGAAAUCUCCCGGCUCAACUGGGAGGGUGCGCCGAAGACUGGAAGGCUUGAGUAUGGGAGAGGUAAGCGGAAUUCCUGGUGUAGCGGUGAAAUGCGUAGAUAUCGGAAGGAACGCCGGUGGCGAAAGCGCAUCACUGGUCCUCUUCUGACGCUGAGGCGCGCAAGCCAGGGGAGCAAACGGG
rnacentral:rRNA from 1 species